GGUGGGUUAGGUCGGAAAGUUAGUUGGUAAUGUCGGAACGUUGGUGGGUAAGGUCGGAAAGCAGGUGGGUUAGGUCGGAAAGUUGGUGGAUUAGGUCGGAAAGCAGGUGGGUUAGGUCGGAAAGUUGGUGGGUUAGGUCGGAAAGUUGGUGGGUUAGGUCGGAAAGCAGGUGGGUUAGGUCGAAAAGUUGGUGGGUUAGGUCGGAAAGCAGGUGGGUUAGGUCGGAAAGUUGGUGGGUUAGGUCGGAAAGUUGGUGGGUUAGGUCGGAAAGUUGGUGGGUUAGGUCGGAAAGCAGGUGGGUUAGGUCGGAAAGCAGGUGGGUUAGGUCGGAAAGCAGGUGGGUUAGGUCGGAAAGCAGGUGGGUAAGGUCGGAAAGUUGGUGGGUAAGGUCGGAAAGUUGGUUGGUAAGGUCGGAAAGUUGGUUGGUAAGGUCGGAAAGUUGGUGGGUAAGGUCGGAAAGCAG
rnacentral:lncRNA from 1 species